AAAAUUGGUGGUUUAGAAAUAAAUAAGACUGGAUAGCACCUGCAGCUACUACCGAUCACCCGCAGCAACUACCGAUCACCGGUCUUUCGAUUCUUCCCCUCUUCCUAUCUUCCUCUGUUCGUCUCUAUCUCUUCCUCUCUAUCGCUUCGUCUCUGUCUCUCUGAUCGGACCUCCGUUUGGAUCUCUGUUCCACCAGAGAGCUCUUGUUGAGAUUUGCUAUCGUCUCUCGAUCUUCUCCAACCGCUUUGAUUGUUUUUCUUCUUCUGGGCAAUAUAGGGAUGCAGAUUCUGGUUUUGGUUCUUUGCAAGCAAAGGAAAUGUUGGAGCAUUUACAGAAUGUUCUAGCUAAUGAGCAUGUUGCUGUCAAAAGCGGCCACUACACUUGAUGAAGCCCUUUGAUUUCGAAACAACCAGUCUUUUGCAAGGAUGUUGAAGUACUGAUGCAUGCAAAGACGAGAGCAUUUGAUCAUUAUAAGGGAUGGAGCUUGUACUUUGCAGAUGAUCCAAUCCAUACAGAUGGUCGCUGAUGUGCGGCAGUUCCAAACUAUUGAAGCACGGCCAGUCUCACCUCUUUUGUUCUCUUUGAUGUAAAUAAUGAGACAUGUGUGUGAUUGUUCAGUUGCUAGUUGUGUAAAGCAGUGUCUAGGAUAGCUUAAAGAACGGGAAAAUCAGUAGGUUGACGGUUUGGUUAGUUGACUUGUUUAGUCCAAUGUUUAUCUUCUCAUCAAAAUGUUUCAUAAUUUUGUUUUUUUUAAGAUAGCUUAAGUUUAUCUUCUCAGCACAAUGUUUAUUUUCUCAUCAAAAUGUUUCAUAAUAUU